rnacentral:rRNA from 1 species
GCGGCGAGCGGCGAACGGGUGAGUAAUGUAUCGGAACGUACCCAGUCGUGGGGGAUAACUAUCCGAAAGGAUAGCUAAUNCCGCAUACGUCCUGAGGGAGAAAGCGGGGGACCGAAAGGCCUCGCGCGAUUGGAGCGGCCGAUAUCGGAUUAGCUAGUUGGUGAGGUAAAGGCUCACCAAGGCGACGAUCCGUAGCUGGUCUGAGAGGACGACCAGCCACACUGGAACUGAGACACGGUCCAGACUCCUACGGGAGGCAGCAGUGGGGAAUUUUGGACAAUGGGGGCAACCCUGAUCCAGCCAUUCCGCGUGAGUGAAGAAGGCCUUCGGGUUGUAAAGCUCUUUCAGCAGGAACGAAACGGUGGUCCUUAAUACGGGCUGCUAAUGACGGUACCUGAAGAAGAAGCACCGGCUAACUACGUGCCAGCAGCCGCGGUAAUACGUAGGGUGCGAGCGUUAAUCGGAAUUACUGGGCGUAAAGCGUGCGCAGGCGGAUUAUUAAGCAAGACGUGAAAGCCCCGGGCUUAACCUGGGAAUGGCGUUUUGAACUGGUAGUCUAGAGUGUGUCAGAGGGGGGUGGAAUUCCACGUGUAGCAGUGAAAUGCGUAGAUAUGUGGAGGAACACCAAUGGCGAAGGCAGCCCCCUGGGAUAACACUGACGCUCAUGUACGAAAGCGUGGGUAGCAAACAGGAUUAGAUACCCUGGUAGUCCACGCCCUAAACGA